UACGUAGGUGGCAAGCGUUGUCCGGAUUUACUGGGCGUAAAGGGCGCGUAGGCGGCGUAACAAGUCACUUGUGAAAUCUCCGGGCUUAACCCAGAGCGGCCAAGUGAUACUGUUGUGCUAGAGUGCGGAAGGGGCUACUGGAAUUCUCGGUGUAGCGGUGAAAUGCGUAGAUAUCGAGAGGAACACCUGCGGCGAAGGCGGGUAGCUGGGCCGACACUGACGCUGAGGCGCGAAAGCCAGGGGAGCGAACGGG
rnacentral:rRNA from 1 species